UGGGGAAUUUUGGACAAUGGGGGAAACCCUGAUCCAACCAUCCCGCGUGUAUGAUGAAGGCCUUCGGGUUGUAAAGUACUUUUGGCAGAGAAGAAAAGGUAUCCCCUAAUACGGGAUACUGCUGACGGUAUCUGCAGAAUAAGCACCGGCUAACUACGUGCCAGCAGCCGCGGUAAUACGUAGGGUGCAAGCGUUAAUCGGAAUUACUGGGCGUAAAGCGUGUGUAGGCGGUUCGGAAAGAAAGAUGUGAAAUCCCAGGGCUCAACCUUGGAACUGCAUUUUUAACUGCCGAGCUAGAAUAUGUCAGAGGGGGGUAGAAUUCCACGUGUAGCAGUGAAAUGCGUAGAUAUGUGGAGGAAUACCGAUGGCGAAGGCAGCCCCCUGGGAUAAUACUGACGCUCAGACACGAAAGCGUGGGGAGCAAACAGGAUUAGAUACCCUGGUAGUCCACGCCCUAAACGAUGUCAACUAGCUGUUGGGGCCGUUAGGCCUUAGUAGCGCAGCUAACGCGUGAAGUUGACCGCCUGGGGAGUACGGUCGCAAGAUUA
rnacentral:rRNA from 1 species